GGAGACGGGUGCAUUCGAGAUAUUUUUCUUCAUGUGUUUCAAGGGAUGUUCCGAGUGGUCGAUUUUACCCACACGUGGCUGCUUUGUUUUCCUCCACCUGGAGAUGGCUGCCUUUCCUGAUCAGAGUAUGUAAGAGUCAGACUCACACUGACGGCUUAUGCAUGUGAGUCUCAGUUAUUCCAGAAGACAACCAAAUUCUGCUAGCAUGUGAAUUCUGUUCUUCUAGGCUGUCUGCAGAAUGGUGGAGAAAGGGAUUACGCCCUGCAAAUUGAGAAAGUAAAAACACAACACACACCUAGGGCUCUCUUCACACGAUUGAGAUGAACCACUUGGCCAGGAUAUAACAAAAGAAUAAUUAUUUGGGUGUUGUCUGCUUUAAGCAAAUCUAAAAGUUAAAAAGAUGUGAACUUCUAAAAUGGAAACAGGGAGCAAUAGUUAUUCACAUUAUUAAAUGAAUCGUUAUUGCUUCUUACAGCUUUUUCUUCCAUUAGCAUAAUGGAGAAUGCAACUCAAUUUGUACCCAUCUAUUGCAUAAAGUAGCAUACACUAAACAUGCAGGUUCAUUCAGAACCUCUUACUUACCAUAUUUACUACAGUCCGAACAAUCUCUGUCUUCUCCCAUUAUUGACUCAUCUUAAAGAUUUUGAAAAUAAAAAAAUAAAACAUAAACAUGUUCUUAAUUGCCUGAAAAUUUUUAAUGAAAAUCUUUUUCUUUUAUCAUCAGGACAAUAAGGGAGCCAUUAACUAAGAAAGAGAAACCCAAUGAAAAGCAAAAGAGUCUCUGUCUUCCUGGUACCUCUGUAAGUAGCUCUUUCCUCCCAUCAGUCCCUGCAAUUCAUGUCAGAUUCGCCAGCACACUGGGUUCUUCUCUCACUCCAGCUCUGAUGUGGUAUCCUGUGCUUCUGCUUCAUUCUUGAUGGGGGUGAGUCCUGGAAUUAACACUCAAAUGGAGUUCCAGCCGGGUACCCUUUGCUGUCUGGCCUUGGUCUAUCUCUGGUACUCAACAUGACAUCUCAGAUGAGUUCUAGUCUGCUCUCCUGCAUGACAUUGUGGGAAAGGAAGCCUUCAGAGCUGGAGAGCUGGGGGUUUCAACUUAUUAGUUUUCAUGGAUACAAAGCUAUGUACCAGCACUAAGGCGUAUCAGCUCCAUCCACAAACAGGUGUUGCUAGCCUUCACCUGUGGCUGUUUUAGUUUUGCCAUCAUUUAUGGCUUAAGCCAUACCAUGGCUUCAUGGUAUGUUUUCUGGGUUUUGCUUUUUUUUUUUUUUUUUUUGAAAGGCAAAGCAAAUCAGAAUGAGUUAAAAAAAAAAGCUGUAACAUGUAAUACCACUUUGAUAUUAUAGGCAUGCAGUUUUAUUGAAAAGUCUCUUUCAUUGUUCAGAUAUCAGGAUCCUAACUUAGAUUUAUGAAAAUGUCCAUAGUUGUUGAAGACUUAGUCCCUUAUAAACUUUAUAUGCAGUGAAAAUAAGAGAAAUCAUGUUUUUAAAAGAUUUGAAAUAAUACAGAAGAGUUGGAACUGGUGCCCGCAAUAUCUAUGGUUCUUUUGGGGGAAAUUUAAGUUUUUAGAGAUAGCAUUGACAAUUAUUGAACACUUUUUAUCUGUCAGGUCCUGUUCUAAGUGUAUGAAUGAAUUUAAUUCUCACAUCAGGGAGAUACUAUUCCUUCCCCGCAUCUUAAAGAUAAGAAAGUUGAGGCACAGAGGGAUUAUACAGCCGGUCACAAGUAGUAAAUG
rnacentral:lncRNA from 12 species